AGCGAACGUUAGCGGCAGGCUUAACACAUGCAAGUCGAACGAAGUCUUCGGACUUAGUGGCGGACGGGUGAGUAACACGUGGGAACGUGCCUUUAGGCUCGGAAUAACUCAGGGAAACUUGUGCUAAUACCGAAUGUGCCCUUCGGGGGAAAGAUUUAUCGCCUUUAGAGCGGCCCGCGUCUGAUUAGCUAGUUGGUGAGGUAAAGGCUCACCAAGGCUACGAUCAGUAGCUGGUCUGAGAGGAUGACCAGCCACAUUGGGACUGAGACACGGCCCAAACUCCUACGGGAGGCAGCAGUGGGGAAUCUUGCGCAAUGGGCGAAAGCCUGACGCAGCCAUGCCGCGUGGAUGAUGAAGGUCUUAGGAUUGUAAAAUCCUUUCACCGGUGAAGAUAAUGACUGUAGCCGGAGAAGAAGCCCCGGCUAACUUCGUGCCAGCAGCCGCAGUAACAC
rnacentral:rRNA from 1 species